AUUUUACAGCAUCUUACUAUGCAGAUGGACAGUGACUGUGAAGGGGUAUGUGGGGGGGACUUGGUGAAGGGGGGAGCCUAGUAAACAUAAUGUUCUUCAUGUAAUUGUAAAUUAAUGAUACAAAAUAAAUAAAUAAAUAAAUAAAUCGAUACUACAGUCUAUAUGCAAACUACCCUGACUGAUCCAUAAACGUCCUUGACUUGACAGAUCUUGAUUUUCUCUUCCAAAUUCUGCCCGAUUCAUGCUCUCUCCCCUCCCUGUUGCUCUGGCCCCGGUCUAAGUCAUCAUCCUUGACCCCCUGUUGGCCACCCAUAGUCCUUUCUCCUGGUGGCAGCCUGGGCAAACCUUUACAAGUGUAAAUCAAAUCAUGUCACUCCCCUGCUGAAAACCUUCCAGUGGCUUCCCAUCCUCCUUAGACCAGAAGGCAAACUCUUACCUUGGCUUCCAAGACCCUGUCAGAUCCGGCCUGCUGUACUCUCUCUGCCUUCACUUUGGAUGGCCAUUCCCAUCCCUCAUGACACUCCAGGCCUCCCAACUACAGCUUACUCCCAACUCCAGGACUUUGCCCUGGCCGUUCCCUGCUUCCAGGAACACUGUUCCCUCAGAUAUGGGCAUGACUCCCUCACUUCAGUCAGGUCUCUGAUGAAAUGUUUUCUUCUCAGAGAGGGGUUCCCUGAUCACCCUAAAAUCACCCCAUCACUCUCUAUCGCUUCCUCUUGAGGUCGGGCAGGGAUAUGGGACAAGCAUCAUGACUAAGUUUUUCUGCCUAUGAUGAAAAAUGCCAAGAUAUAAACAGCAUAGUAAGAACAGGAGAGACUCCAUCUUAAAGCUAAGAUUCCAUUAAAAACAACAACAACAGGGAGUUAGGAGGUAAGAUUUCUAACAUAUUUUAUGGUAACCAAUCAAUAACCUCACCUAUCUUAAGGUAGGGCAAGCAGUCCUAAAUGAUAAAAGAACAGGAUCAAGAAAUUCCUUAUGUUAGGUUUAUCUUACAGAAUAUCUAGAGGACAGACUGUGGAUAUUGGUAAAUGUCUCUCACAGGAGACAGAUAUCAUAAGAAUGCAACUGAAGCCUACCCACCCCACCCCCUGCCACCCUUUACCCCAUUCUUGAAAGCUUUAUUAAAAGACGGAAUCCUAA